GACGAACGCUGGCGGCGUGCUUAACACAUGCAAGUCGAGCGGAAAGGCCACUUCGGUGGUACUCGAGCGGCGAACGGGUGAGUAACACGUGAGUAAUCUGCCCCUGGCUUUGGGAUAGCCACCGGAAACGGUGAUUAAUACCGGAUAUGACCACUUCACGCAUGUGAUGGUGGUGGAAAGUUUUUCGGCCAGGGAUGUGCUCGCGGCCUAUCAGCUUGAUGGUGAGGUAAUGGCUCACCAUGGCUUCGACGGGUAGCCGGCCUGAGAGGGUGAUCGGUCACACUGGGACUGAGACACGGCCCAGACUCCUACGGGAGGCAGCAGUGGGGAAUAUUGGACAAUGGGCGGAAGCCUGAUCCAGCAACGCCGCGUGAGGGAUGACGGCCUUCGGGUUGUAAACCUCUUUCGCCUGUGACGAAGCGCAAGUGACGGUAACAGGUAAAGAAGCACCGGCCAACUACGUGCCAGCAGCCGCGGUAAAAC
rnacentral:rRNA from 1 species